GCCUGUUUUCACAUUCCAGAUUUUCCUCUAAGACCAAAAAGAAAAGCAUGGAAAAUGUUAAUACUUUUAAGUGCUUCCAACUUACAUUCACACCAAAAGUCCUUAAUGAGUUCUUGGCACCACAUAUACUUUUUAGAAUCAUUUUAUGAUGACCCAGUAUAAUUUAAUUAUGUGCAAUUAAUUUGUUCAGCAAGGACAAGAAGAAAAUAUUUUAAUGCUUUUUAUUGCUAUGUCGACUCAUUUUUGUACACUCUGCCUACAGUUCUUUUAUCAGAGCUGGCUUGGCAAUUCAUCCUCUAAAGCACUAGAGAAAACACAUCUUACUGAGUGCAAAGAAGAAAAAGAAAAAAAAUAUCAAGAGAUUUGAAGAUAUCGGCCAAGGAUCCUUAAAAUACUGGAAUAGAAGCUGCAGUCUGAAAGGAAAUUGAAAGGAAACAACUGAUACAGCCAAGAAAUGAAUUGAUACAGAACUUAAUGUAAGACACACAUUUGGCUGAAGUGAAGUAGUGAUAAAGUAGAUGAAAAAGGACUGUGUUAGAACAAAAGCCUUUCCUGAGAAUGUGACCCUUCGCUACGCACAGACAAUGAAGUGAAGAGGAGAUGGAAGUCUUAGGAGGAAAGGAAGUCAUGUCUAAUAGAGUCAUGCUAAAAAUAUUCUCACAGUCUCCGUAUCUCUUUUUAUUUUACCUAUGGAGCUAUUGGCCAUACAUAUUUGCAAAUCUUAAUGUGUUAACAUUUACUGAUUGAUUGAUUUUUGUUUCUAUACUAUAAAAAAAUGUCACUCCUCUGAGACAAUCAAAAUAUUAUCCAUUUGUUUUAAUGUAUUUUUUUAACCUAUGUAGUCUUUACAACAUAUGAAGUUUAUUUUUUAAUUCACUUAAGGUAGAAUCUAUCUUUUUUCCAUAAAUAGUCAAUUUUCUAAGCCUAAUUAAUCCAAUUAUUUAAUUACAACCCCCUCUCCGCAUGCAUGCACAUUUGUCAAGUUGCAUUUGUCAUAUAUCUAAGUCCCAUAUCUUUUCACUUCCACUGCUCUACUCCUACGCCGGGGAGUAGAGUUGUUCAUUAGGAUUAACAGUGUUUCACUCCUUCCUCCAUCUAUGGCUUCAUCACAGGCUGAAUAUAUUUCCCUUUGCUUGACUUCAGGUCCGGCCGUGUAAUUUGUUUGGGACAUCACAUGCACAGAAACUACAACAGCAUGACAGUGCCAACUAUUAGCCUAUAAGAAGCCAUAAGCAUGUUUACAAUUUUUGUCUCUGUCAUAACCAUAAAAGAAACAUGCCACACAUCUCCAACUAUUCCACAAGAAGGAUUGAAAGCACAUGGACCGGAGGCACUUCAGUUUCUGGCUUCUGAAGCACAACCACCCAGAUUACCCAUGAACUGACAAUGGGUAACAGAUCUAUGCAACCUACCAGGGUGCAGUUCUGCUCAACCUACCAAUGACACAUAUACAGAUUAGAAUUUAAUAUGACUGUUGUUUGACACCACUGAGCUUUGGGGUGAGGUGCUGCUAUUUUUUAUGUAGGACUAUUAAAGAAAGCUAAAUAAUACAGAAUUUGCUACCAAGAGGUGUAUCUGCUAAAAAGAAGGAAACAAUAAUAAGAAUCCUGAAAAAUGGACUUCCAGUUUCUGAAGAAAGAGUUUUCAAUUUCUGUUUUUCUGUUGUCAUUUUGUUAAAAAGUUGUUAAAAGUUUUCUUCGGAAUUCUAUUUCUAAACUUAGCAAAAAUUACUUUAUCUGUAACAUGACCGUCACUCAUUGAGAGCAUAAAUCUGAAAUGUAUAUUGUUGAAAGCUAGUACUAACACUAUUAAUUUUAAAAUUCCCCAUUGCUUCCAUUUUUAUUUUGUUAAUAAGGUCUUACAAGGAAGAAAAAAAAGAGGGUUUUUUUUUCAUUGAAAUCUAAUUAACUGAUAUUUUCCUAUGCUGUGUGCUUUUUGUGUCCUUUCUAUUAAAUCUUCACCUAAUCCAGAUUACAAAUAUACAUAAAGGAAUUCAGGUCUGUGAUCUAUAUAACAUUGAUUUUUGAACAUGAUUAGAGGUAAGAGUUGACAUUCACUUUUUUUUCCAAAUUAUAUUCAAUUGUUCUAACAUCAUUUUUUGAAAAAAAAAUGGUUUUUAUCUCAUCAAAUUCUCUUAACAAAUUCUGCCACUAAACACUAUUACACAUUUAAUGCAGCCUCUAAUUUCUUAGUUAUGCUUCUUUUUUAGCUGUCUCAUUUUUUUCUGUUAAUAUUGUUAUAUAUUUCACUUCUAUAUACUUACAAAUUUCCAAAGAUAUUAUUUUUACUUUAAAAAAUUGAUGAUCACUUAAAAGGUUAAACAUAACAAAAAUGUACUUUACAUAUAUCUGCAUAUGUUUCAUUCCUGGCCCUCUCUGUUUCUGUGUGGAUGUCCUAAUUUCCAUCUGAUAUCAUUUCCCUUCUGCCUAUGAAAAUUUCUGUAAUAUUUCUUAUAAUAAAGUUUAGGUAAAAUUAAUUAUCCCAUGAUGUAUCUGUGAGAUAAUGUCUUUAUUUUGCCAAUAUUUUUGGAAGAUAUAUGCAGAUAGUAUAAAAUUCUGGAUUUAUAGUUUUGUUUUGUUUUGUUUUUUUAAUUUAAAGAUGUCUGGCUAGGCAUAGUGGCUCAUGCCUGUAAUCCCAGCACUUUGGAAGGCCGAGGCAAGCGGCUCAUGAGGUCAGGAGUUUGAGAUCAGCCUGACCAACAUGGUGAAACCCUGUCUCUAAUAAAAAUACAAAAAUUAGUCAUCUGUGGAGGCACAUGCCUGUAAUCCCAGCUAUUCAGAAGGCUGAGACAGGAGAGUAGCUUGAACCUGGUAGCAGUGAGCCAAGAUCUCACUACUGUAUUCCAGCCUGGGCAACAGAGCGAGACUCCAUCUAAAAAAAAAUGAAGAUGUCCCUCAUUGACUUAUGGAUGUGUGGUAGUGUGGUAUGUACAAAUUUACGAAGAACUCUGCUAACACUCUUUUCAUUAUUCCUCAGUAUUUCGUUUAUUUUAUAUUCAAC
ensembl:lncRNA